UCGGAGCAGGAGUACCUACAUAUGUACAUCCCUCCGCAACGGAGACAUGUGAUACAUUGUUUACUUAUGUUAUCCUAGCCCACAUUCUUUCUCAACAAGUCGACAGGUGUUUUUACCUAAAAAAAAAGACCCUUUAGAUAAAAGUCUUACUCGUAUAGUACAUCAACACGAACCAAGCUCUUCACCAAACCGGUUGUGUUGGAAUGUCGACGCAAUAAGUCACCAACCUUUGCUUGAAUGUAUUCAUCAAAGAGUGCCACUACUGCCGUGAUGUUAGACGUUGUAAUCAGUGCUUUUACUGUAGUGUACGUAUAUCCAGAAUUUUGGUGUAAUUUAUAGUGCUGUUAUCAUUAUGUCAAUUCUGGUAGUAUAUGUAAUCAUUGCAUUCUUAAUCAAUACGAAUGUCAAAAGUUUUCCAUUAAUCGUUUUUAAUGCAUGCAGUCAAGACCCUGAGUGUUUCAUUUCCUAUGACUUCAGUUUUGAGAAACUUGGGGAUGGCCUGUUUUUGGGACCGCCAAUCUUACAUUUUGCAGAAAAAAGUUAUUUAUAUUUUCCUUUUACGAACGGUGACAAGGUUCGACUCUUAAAACACCUCGAUUUACGGGAUCCUGGAACCAUCAUGGUUACGAAAACGCUUGCAGAUGACAAUAACUGUUUCGUCGUGAGUGGAAAUUAUUCGACUGCAAAAGUAUCAAAUUGUUUAAAUGCGUCCAGUGUAACCGCAGUCAACGGAACUGAUCGAAAUCUCCUCGUUUAUAACAAUAGUACAAAGAAUCCGUUUAUUACCGUAAUGCAACUUCGAUAUGGCGCAGAUUUUAUAUUCACGCGAAUGAUAUAUUAUACACAAACAAUAAAGGAGAAUUUUUUUGAUCAAGCGGUGGCAGCAAACAUAAACCUCACCGGCCCUCCCAUCGUCUCGUUUUUCAAAAAACUGAGGGAGGAUUCCAAACCAUUUCCCAUCGAAGAAGAUAUCCAGCUGGGUAGUCUGGAUACCUGUAUAAAUAUAGAUGGAAGUUAUGAAGAUCCCCAAGUCGUCUACAUACCCUGCGAAACACCACGUGGACGCAGACCGUCUACCAGGACUGCGACUACUACAACAAUCACGGAACGACCAUAUCCAUUAUACGAACUGCCAUAUGCCAGAAAGUGAUGGGUAAUUUAAACAUUUAGCGUAAUAUCUAGAAUUGUUUAGAUUUUCCGAUGAGGAAUGAAGGGAGUAUGUAUUUAACCGGAAUGACUUAUGUAUGUAUGCUGAUGAAAUUGUGCCUAUGUAUCUAUUAAUGUGUUAUAUUUUCACAAGAAAAGGUCAGAAAUGGA